AGGAGCUUAGGCUAUACAAACCAAAAGCCUUCAAAGCUUUAAAAAGGGAACAACCCUAGCUUCU
rnacentral:tRNA from 1 species